UGCUUCGCUGAUCAUAGAUUUGUUUGGAGUGCAGUGGCGUGUGUAUACUUUUGCAUUACCUCGGGUCGACGAGCUGACAGACAUGACCCUGGCCUGCAUCACCAUGUGACCCUCCCACAUCCACCUAACUGUUUUCAAAUGUCUCCGAUUAUAGGUCAAGUGUGAAGAAGCGAAGUAAGACCAAUCACAAUGAUAAGGUAUUGGAAGCUACUUUACACAAUUUGUCAACGACUUGUUUGUUAUACACACAUCUACAAGCCCACUGAGUUCAAGGGCAUCAUGUGAAACCCUGUAUUGGCGUUAGGCCUAGUUCUGGUCAGGUCCUUUUGUACAGCCCUUUGUCAAGUGGUAUCGGUGCGAACAGUGCUAAACAAUUAAAAAAAGGUGACAUCCCCAAAGUUAAGGCCACCUUGAUCCAUCCGUUCCUUACCACAUUAGACCUCUUUCAGAGAUGAAAGACUGACUAGAAGAGUCAACGGGCAUGUAGGGGUUGGCUCUGUGUUUUACUGGUUGGUUUAGGCAUGUUAGAAUGUUGGCACGCUAGAAUCUGAUUUUUCUUUUGUGAUGGAGUAGAUGCUGUUCUUGAACACACUACUAGCAACACUCCCAUUUCAUAUGUACUUCCAAUACAUACAAAGCAGCUGUUUACUGCUGCUUGAGGUUGACUACGGUCAAUGCUUUCCAGCGCUUUCGUUGGGUGCAAUGCGUUUUCAUUCUGUGCUUUAAGAGAUUAGCCUCUGGCAGCGUCCUUUGUACAGGUUACCAUAAACUAACAGUGUUGACCUCUUUGUGGGACUUUUCUUGUUAAACUAGUUUGUUCCCCUGCAAGGAUUUUCUUUCAGUUUUGUAGACGGUUUGUUCCAAUGAUUGACUGACAACACAUGCUUGUGUUUUCAGAAUAAAGAUUGGCAUCCCUUAUCUUCAUUGGCAAAUUCAGCUGCUUCAGUGUGACCAAAUUCUGACUAAUUACUAAAUUGUUAUGUUAAUAAUUUGCAUAUUUUAUGUAAAAACAGCAUAAAAGGACAAGUAAAGUUGACCAAGUUGAAUUGUAACUGCUUGAAUAUUGAUCAUGUUCUAAAGUGUAUUGUGUUUUUUCCUCAGGGGCAGUUCAAUUCAGACUCAGGUUGUACCUCCCCCAAAGUUCAUAGGUGAGUAUUUCAGUUUGUUUAAUUUGUUUAUUCAAUCAAUGAUUAAUGUUCUUCCAGUAAAGAAUAAAGUGCUGCCAUUAUGAGGCUUUAUUUUCCCCACAUUUGUUCUUCCAUUUUAUAGUCAUGAAAGAAAAAAAUAAAUAAUUAAAGAGCAGGUGUGUGAAUGCUAAAACUUUGCUAAACGGCAGUGGAGUUUGUGUGAGACUCUGUUGGACGCCCGGAUGUACCUGCAGUGUCCUGCCCUGCGUGUGUCCUUGGCUUGUCUUUGGCCGGGUUCCCUGGGGAGUCCUUGGCUCUUGGCCAGGAGGAGCAGAGUCAGAGGGAAUGACAAUGGAAAACCGUGAGGUGGAGGGCCUGUGGGGAUGGAGGGGUGAAAGGGGACAGUGGGCAGUGACCCCUAUCUCCCAUCUCCCCUCUUGUCUUUCUGAGCGCAGAACCAUCGACCACCGCAGCAUUGGUGCAGAUUUUCAUUGGUGAGGUUUCUACGUGGCUGAUGGAUACACCCCAUACCAUGUGACUCACACCAGGACUAGAAAUGACUCCCCUUCAACCAUCACAGGUUAGUAGGCUAGGUUGAACAUGUCUGCUAUACACAUACGCAAACGCAUACAUAGAAAAAAAGAUUUGUGUGAUCAUUUUAUUUAUUUCUUCCAUCAGUAAAAACAUCCAAAUCUCAUCUCUUGCAAAAAGAAGUCCUUCACAUAUUCAACUCCCACCAUAAUCAGAUUUAAUUUAAAAAAUCCUCAUUGUCCAGUAAAAAGUUUGUUCAAAAAUGCAGAAAAAACGAUCUCCUCUUCUCCCUUCAUUUUCCAAUUCAUACAAAAGUUGUGUGCCAUUGCUUUCUGACAUGUAACUGUCAGAGUUGAAGAAAAUCCAAGGGUAAUGAUAGUGGAUGCUUUUCUCCCCCUCAUUUAAGUGUCAUUUUUGUCAGACAGAAAUUGCACAUCACUACAUGGGUGAUACUGCAUCAAGUAUCCAAAUCUGCAAUGUGUGAAAACCUUGUUUCUCCGACUUGACUGGAAUAUGCCCUUAAUGAGCCAUUAAAACAUCCAAAAAUGGUACGAUUUUUUUUCUUAAAGAAACAAAGAGCACAUUCAUUCCUUAGUUUCAUUGGUUGGUUGUCAUUGCCAUGUUAUUCCUUUUUAAGACUCAUCAAGAUUGUGGAUCAGCCCAUUUGCAGUAGAAUGGCAGAAAAAGGCUUAAUAUGUUUGGUUUGAACUGAAUAUCCUUGCCCUGUUAGCAUGGGUUUGAACAAGCUCAACUAGAAUACACAUGAGCCAACAGAUGUUUAGUUAUUUUAUAGUAUACAUAAACCAAAAUAGUAGCAAUGACAGAAGCUAGAAUUUUGACUGACUGCUACAUAGGGCUGAGCGAUAAUUCCAUUAUCUUUCAGUAGCAUGUUCUUAAUCAUAAUUCAUUAUAAUGUGUAGUGUUGUAGUCUCUUGAUUUUGUCAUAAGACUUCCAUCUAGCAACAAAACAAGGUUUGAUAGCGCUUUGAGUGCGAGAAAAGCGCUAUAUAAAUUUAAUUUAUUAUUAUUAUUAUAAUAUAUAAAAUUGAAUUGCACUUAUAUAGUGUCAGUACUCAUGUGUAACAUGAGUAACAUGUGCCGUGCUCAUUGUACAUACCGUUAUACCUGCAAUUAAUGGCUGUCCACAGAAUAACGCUGUUUGGAUGCAAAACUGCGUAACAUUGUACUUGUAAUUACAAUACAUUUCAUCCAAAAAUGUAUGAAUAUUGAUCUGAUAUACCUGAAAUUACAACAUAUUUUCAAUGGUAACUUUUGUAAUGCAAAUUAAAAACAAUUGCACAUAUCUUUUGAAUAUUUUGUUAAGUCUUAAAAGUCCUAGUGUUAAUACCGCCCAGCCGUAGAUCUAGAGCACUUCAUAAGGCAUGGCUGAAAGACAACAGGGGGAAAAGUUGGCUUUG